ACUCAAAGGAAUUGACGGGGGUCCGCACAAGCGGUGGAACAUGUGGUUUAAUUCGACACUACGCGAGGAACCUUACCUAGGUUUGACAUGUACUUGACCGUCCUAGAGAUAGGAUUUUUUAGGCGAAAGCCUAGACGGGUACACAGGUGCUGCAUGGCUGUCGUCAGUUCGUGUCGUGAGAUGUUGGGUUAAGUCCUUUAACGAACGCAACUCUUGCCGUCAGUUGCAACUCUUUUAAGAGGCACUCUGAUGGGACUGCCUGGGAAACCAGGAGGAAGGUGGGAAUGACGUCAAGUCCGCAUGGUCCUUAUGCCUAGGGCUACACACGUGUUACAAUGGUUGGUACAAAGGGCUGCGAGCUUGUAAAAGUAAGCUAAUCCCCAAAAGCCAAUCUAAGUUCGGAUUGAGGUCUGCAACUCGACCUCAUGAAGUUGAAAUCGCUAGUAAUCGCAUAUCAGAACGAUGCGGUGAAUACGUUCUCGGACCUUGUACACACCGCCCGU
rnacentral:rRNA from 1 species